UCCCUGGAGGACUCGUGGUUAGGCCACAGCGCUCUCACUGCUGCGGCCUGGGUUCGAUUCCCGGCCAGGGAA
rnacentral:tRNA from 1 species